AUGAUUUGACGAAAGAAGAGCUGUCUCCGCUUAUUUUUAAUAAAUUAACCUAGAAGUUAAAAGGCUUCUAUUCUCUAGAGGGACGACAAGACCCUAUAAAGCUUUAUUUAUCAUAUUUCUAUUUAUUUCAAAAAAAAAUAUAAAUUUAUAAAUUUUAUUGGGGCGAUAGAUAAAAAAACAUUAUUAACCAUAACGUUUUUAACGAAACUUAUAAAAUAUUCUUAAACUAAACAAGUUACUUUAGGGAUAACAGCAUAAUUUCUUUUUAGAGCCCUUAUCGACAAAGAAGAUUAUGACCUCGAUGUUGGAUUAAG
rnacentral:rRNA from 1 species